AGCAUAAUCAAUAGUUUUUUAAUUGAAAGCUGGAAUGAAGGAUUGAAUGAAAUAAUGAUUGUCUCAAAUUUAAAAAUAUUAGAAUUUUUUUUUUAGUUAAAAAGCUAAAUUGAAUUUAAAAGACGAGAAGACCCUAUAGAUUUUUAUAAUUUUAAUAAAUAAGAAAUAUAAUAUAAUUUAUAAUUAAUUAAUAAAAUUAUUUAAUUGGGGAAAUUAUUAAAUUUAAUUAAUUUUAAUUUUUUUUUUACAAUAAUAUUUGGUUAAAUGAUCUUAAAUAUAGAUAAUAAGAAUAAAAUACCUUAGGGAUAACAGCGUAAUAUUUUUAGAGAGAUCUUAUUAAUAAAAAAAAUUGCGACCUCGAUKUUGAAUUAAAAWAAAAUUAUAAUGGAGAAGUUAUAAAUUUUUGG
rnacentral:rRNA from 1 species